rnacentral:rRNA from 1 species
GACGAACGCUGGCGGCGUGCCUAAUACAUGCAAGUCGAGCGAAGUUUUUCUGGUGCUUGCACCGGAAAAACUUAGCGGCGAACGGGUGAGUAACACGUAAAGAACCUGCCUCAUAGACUGGGACAACUAUUGGAAACGAUAGCUAAUACCGGAUAACAGCAUUAACUGCAUGGUUGAUGUUUAAAAGUUGGUUUUGCUAACACUAUGAGAUGGCUUUGCGGUGCAUUAGCUAGUUGGUGGGGUAAAGGCCUACCAAGGCGACGAUGCAUAGCCGACCUGAGAGGGUGAUCGGCCACACUGGGACUGAGACACGGCCCAGACUCCUACGGGAGGCAGCAGUAGGGAAUCUUCCGCAAUGGGCGAAAGCCUGACGGAGCAACGCCGCGUGAGUGAAGAAGGAUUUCGGUUCGUAAAGCUCUGUUGUUAGGGAAGAAUGAUUGUGUAG